rnacentral:lncRNA from 1 species
CGGGCGACGACCGAACGCCCCCGGGAACACCGGGCCCCGAGCUCGGUCCCGCGCCCGAGGAUCCUCCACGGGGCUAGAUGGCUGCGUCGGGGGCGGGAGCGGAGGCAACUCCGGCCUUCCCUGCCCUGACCUGGAACCUCUGGGAGGGCUGCAGAGUAAGUGCCGCCUCUGCGCUCCGACGGAGGCACGAGGCCUGUGGAGUAGGUCCCUCUGUUCCGACAGGUGCGACACUUGGCGCUCCAUGCUUGCGGGUGCCGGGAGGCCUGGCCUCCCCCAGGGCCGCCACCUCUGCUGGUUGCUCUGUGCUUUCACCUUAAAGCUCUGCCAAGCAGAGGCUCCCGUGCAGGAAGAGAAGCUGUCAGCAAGCACCUCAAAUUUGCCAUGCUGGCUGGUGGAAGAGUUUGUGGUAGCAGAAGAGUGCUCUCCAUGCUCUAAUUUCCGGGCUAAAACUACCCCUGAGUGUGGUCCCACAGGAUAUGUAGAGAAAAUCACAUGCAGCUCAUCUAAGAGAAAUGAGUUCAAAAGCUGCCGCUCAGCUUUGAUGGAACAACGCUUAUUUUGGAAGUUCGAAGGGGCUGUCGUGUGUGUGGCCCUGAUCUUCGCUUGUCUUGUCAUCAUUCGUCAGCGACAAUUGGACAGAAAGGCUCUGGAAAAGGUCCGGAAGCAAAUCGAGUCCAUAUAGCUACAUUCCACCCUUGUAUCCUGGGUCUUAGAGACCCUAUCUCAGACAGUGAAAGUGAAAUGGACUGAUUUGCACUCUUGGUUCUUUGGAGCCUUGUGGUGGAAUCCCCUUUUCCCCAUCUUCUUCUUUCAGAUCAUUAAUGAGCAGAAUAAAAAGAGUAAAAUGGUUUCCUUCCCUUCUGUAACUUGGAGCAGGAAGUCAUGGGGGCAGAGAGGGAAAGGAGGUGGUUACUUAAGGCCCCAAUCUACCAAGUCUUCCCCACCACUUCUCCCUUGUUUUCCCCCUCUUCUACUACUUAUUUCAAACUUCUGGGAUACAAUUUCAGCUAAAACGUUUAUUUCUCACUCAAAACUUAUUUCCCCUCAACCCUAUACCC